GAUGAAGAACGUAGCGAAAUGCGAUAAGUAAUGUGAAUUGCAGAAUUCAGUGAAUCAUCGAAUCUUUGAACGCACAUUGCGCCCGCCAGUAUUCUGGCGGGCAUGCCUGUUCGAGCGUCAUUACAACCCUCAGGCCCCCGGGCCUGGCGUUGGGGAUCGGCGGAGCCCCCCGUGGGCACACGCCGUCCCCCAAAUACAGUGGCGGUCCCGCCGCAGCUUCCAUCGCGUAGUAGCUAACACCUCGCGACUGGAGAGCGGCGCGGCCACGCCGUAAAACACCCAACUCUUCUGAAGUUGACCUCGAAUCACGUAGGAAUACCCGCUGAACUUAAGCAUAUCAAUAAGCGGAGGA
rnacentral:misc_RNA from 1 species